UACGUAGGCAGCGAGCGUUGUUCGGAAUUACUGGGCGUAAAGAGUGCGUAGGCGGUGCUUUAAGUUUGGUGUGAAAUCUCCCGGCUUAACUGGGAGGGUGCGCCGAAGACUGGAGUGCUUGAGUGUGGGAGAGGAAAGCGGAAUUCCUGGUGUAGCGGUGAAAUGCGUAGAUAUCAGGAGGAACACCUGCGGUGUAGACGGCUUUCUGGACCACGACUGACGCUGAGGCACGAAAGCGUGGGUAGCAAACAGG
rnacentral:rRNA from 1 species